GACGAGCGCUGGCGGCGUGCUUAACACAUGCAAGUCGAACGGAAAGGCCCUGCUUUUGUGGGGUGCUCGAGUGGCGAACGGGUGAGUAACACGUGAGUAACCUGCCCUUGACUUUGGGAUAACUUCAGGAAACUGGGGCUAAUACCGGAUAGGAGCUCCUGCUGCAUGGUGGGGGUUGGAAAGUUUCGGCGGUUGGGGAUGGACUCGCGGCUUAUCAGCUUGUUGGUGGGGUAGUGGCUUACCAAGGCUUUGACGGGUAGCCGGCCCGAGAGGGUGACCGGCCACAUUGGGACUGAGAUACGGCCCAGACUCCUACGGGAGGCAGCAGUGGGGAAUAUUGCACAAUGGGCGGAAGCCUGAUGCAGCAACGCCGCGUGCGGGAUGACGGCCUUCGGGUUGUAAACCGCUUUCGCCUGUGACGAAGCGUGAGUGACGGUAAUGGGUAAAGAAGCACCGGCUAACUACGUG
rnacentral:rRNA from 1 species